rnacentral:tRNA from 1 species
UGUGUAGAUCAGUGGUAGAGUGCUUGCCUGGAAAGCAUGAGUCACUGGGUUCAAUCUCCAGUACA